UACGUAGGGUGCAAGCGUUGUCCGGAAUUAUUGGGCGUAAAGAGCUCGUAGGCGGUCUGUCGCGUCGGCUGUGAAAACCCGGGGCUCAACCCCGGGCCUGCAGUCGAUACGGGCAGACUAGAGUGUGGUAGGGGAGACUGGAAUUCCUGGUGUAGCGGUGAAAUGCGCAGAUAUCAGGAGGAACACCGGUGGCGAAGGCGGCUCACUGGCCCGGUACUGACGCUGAGGUGCGAAAGCGUGGGGAGCAAACAGG
rnacentral:rRNA from 1 species